rnacentral:rRNA from 1 species
AGUGAACGCUGGCGGUAGGCCUAACACAUGCCAGUCGAACGGCAGCACAGUAAGAGCUUGCUCUUACGGGUGGCGAGUGGCGGACGGGUGAGGAAUACAUCGGAAUCUACUUUUUCGUGGGGGAUAACGUAGGGAAACUUACGCUAAUACCGCAUACGACCUACGGGUGAAAGCAGGGGAUCUUCGGACCUUGCGCGAUUGAAUGAGCCGAUGUCGGAUUAGCUAGUUGGCGGGGUAAAGGCCCACCAAGGCGACGAUCCGUAGCUGGUCUGAGAGGAUGAUCAGCCACACUGGAACGGAGACACGGUCCAGACUCCUACGGGAGGCAGCAGUGGGGAAUAUUGGACAAUGGGCGCAAGCCUGAUCCAGCCAUACCGCGUGGGUGAAGAAGGCCUGCGGGUUGUAAAGCCCUUUUGUUGGGAAAGAAAAGCAGCAGGUUAAGACCCCGCUGUUCGGACGGUACCCAAAGAAUAAGCACCGGCUAACUUCGU